CGGCCGCGUCGACCCUUACCAAGGCUUGACAUACACCGGAAACACUCAGAGAUGUGGUUUUCUUCGGACUGGUGCACAGGUGGUGCAUGGUUGUCGUCAGCUCGUGUCGUGAGAUGUUGGGUUAAGUCCCGCAACGAGCGCAACCCUCGUUCUAUGUUGCCAGCACGUCAUGGUGGGGACUCAUAGGAGACUGCCGGGGUCAACUCGGAGGAAGGUGGGGACGACGUCAAAUCAUCAUGCCGUCGACGCGGCCG
rnacentral:rRNA from 1 species